rnacentral:rRNA from 1 species
CAGUCGCCGCGGGAAUACGAAGGGGGCUAGCGUUGUUCGGAUUUACUGGGCGUAAAGGGUGCGUAGGCGGAUUGUUAAGUCAGGGGUGAAAUCCCGAGGCUCAACCUCGGAACUGCCUUUGAUACUGGCGAUCUUGAGUCCGGGAGAGGUGAGUGGAACUGCGAGUGUAGAGGUGAAAUUCGUAGAUAUUCGCAAGAACACCGGUGGCGAAGGCGGCUCACUGGCCCGGAACUGACGCUGAGGCACGAAAGCGUGGGGAGCAAACAGAAUUAGAUACCCCAGUAGUCCCUGUCUCUUAUAC